AUGUCUGCACGGCGGACUUCCCAUGGUGAGCCGAAAUCAGCAGUGCCUUUUAACCAGUACCUCCCGAACAAAAGCAAUCAGACGGCCUACGUCCCCGCGCCUCUGAGAAAGAAGAAAGCAGAGCGCGAGGAAUACCGCAAGAGCUGGAGUACCGCCACCUCCCCGCUGGGUGGGGAGAGGCCCUUCAGGGAUGGAGAUGUUCAGCACAUCUGUGCUUCUGAGCCUUCCCCAGAAAUUAAAGCAGAAACUGCCAUUCGUGAUGACUUUGC
rnacentral:lncRNA from 1 species